GGAUUAGAUACCCUGGUAGUCCACGCCGUAAACGAUGUGCACUAGGUCGGAGCGGUUUUGACGCCCUUCCGGCCGACGUAAAAACAUUAAGUGCACCGCCUGGGGAGUACGGUCGCAAGGCUAAAACUCAAAGGAAUUGACGGGGGCUCACACAAGCGGUGGAGCAUGUUGCUUAAUUCGAGACAACGCGAAGAACCUUACCUGGGUUUGACAUGCACGGAUUAGCUCGGUGAAAGUCGAGUGACGCCCUCGGGUGGAACGUGCACAGGUGAUGCAUGGCUGUCGUCAGCUCGUGUUG
rnacentral:rRNA from 1 species